UCAAUCUGGUUCCGAUGUCCACAUGGCU
rnacentral:sRNA from 1 species